ACACAUGCAAGUCGAGCGCACCUUCGGGUGAGCGGCGGACGGGUUAGUAACGCGUGGGAACGUGCCCAGAUCUAAGGAAUAGCCACUGGAAACGGUGAGUAAUACCUUAUACGCCCUUCGGGGGAAAGAUUUAUCGGAUUUGGAUCGGCCCGCGUUAGAUUAGGUAGUUGGUGGGGUAAUGGCCUACCAAGCCUACGAUCUAUAGCUGGUUUUAGAGGAUGAUCAGCAACACUGGGACUGAGACACGGCCCAGACUCCUACGGGAGGCAGCAGUGGGGAAUCUUAGACAAUGGGGGAAACCCUGAUCUAGCCAUGCCGCGUGAGUGACGAAGGCCUUAGGGUCGUAAAGCUCUUUCGCCAUGGAUGAUAAUGACAGUACCUGGUAAAGAAACCCCGGCUAACUCCGUGCCAGCAGCCGCGGUAAUACGGAGGGGGUUAGCGUUGUUCGGAAUUACUGGGCGUAAAGCGCGCGUAGGCGGAUUGGAAAGUUGGGGGUGAAAUCCCAGGGCUCAACCCUGGAACUGCCUCCAAAACUCCCAGUCUAGAGUUCGAGAGAGGUGAGUGGAACUCCGAGUGUAGAGGUGAAAUUCGUAGAUAUUCGGAAGAACACCAGUGGCGAAGGCGGCUCACUGGCUCGAUACUGACGCUGAGGUGCGAAAGUGUGGGGAGCAAACAGGAUUAGAUACCCUGGUAGUCCACACCGUAAACGAUGAAUGCCAGUCGUCGGCAAGUAUACUUGU
rnacentral:rRNA from 1 species